rnacentral:tRNA from 1 species
GGAGGCAUGACCAGAGCGGUCUAUUGGACCCGGCUUUCACCCGGGCGGGGUGUCGCAGCACCCCCGUGGGUUCGAAUCCCACUGCCUCCA